ACGGGUGGCAGUCUAGAGCGUGAACGCGAGUUCAGUACAGUGAACAGGACCCGACGAGUCCACAUCGAGCGACUCUAGCGAAGGGAGAAUAAGAAAGAGACUGAAGGGUUUGUGUUUCUUCCUCUCCUCGCUAAAUCAACAGCUCCUUAAAUCAGCCGUUAUAUCCGGAGAGGGUCGCCGCAGAGUGGAGGGGGCACGAGGGAUUUGAUCUGCACCGUUAUUUUUUCUUUUGUGUUUUCUUUUUUUUCUUUUUCUCGUGGAAGGAUUGUGAGGGUUUGCUUGUAAAGAUGAUGGUCGGGGAGAUGGAGGUGAAGGAGAGACCGAGGCCGAGUCCCGACUAUCUCAUGCAGUUACUGAACGAGAAGAAGCUCAUGACGAGUUUACCGAACCUGUGCGGCAUCUUCACACACCUGGAAAGACUCCUGGACGAAGAGAUAACGAGAGUGAGGAAAGACAUGUACAACGACUCUGCUAAUGGUCUGGUGGACAAACACCCUCUGGAGUUACCAGAGCCUGUGGGACCCAUCGUACACCUGCAGGAGAAGCUCUUCGUACCAGUCAAAGAGUACCCAGACUACAAUUUUGUGGGGAGGAUCCUUGGGCCUCGUGGACUUACAGCGAAGCAGCUGGAAGCGGAAACCGGCUGCAAGAUCAUGGUGAGAGGGCGGAGUUCCAUGAGAGACAGAAAGAAGGAAGAGCAGAACCGAGGGAAACCGAACUGGGAGCAUCUAAAUGAAGAACUGCAUGUUCUGAUCACAGUUGAGGACACACAGACACGUGCCGAGGUCAAGAUGAGAAGAGCCGUAAAAGAGGUCGAGAAGCUACUGGUGCCUGCAGCAGAGGGAGAAGAUAAUCUGAAGAAGAUGCAGCUGAUGGAGCUGGCUAUUUUGAACGGAACAUACAGAGACACCAACAUCAAAACGCCCACCCUUGCAUUUUCUCUUGCAGCCGCGGCAGCAGCCGCACAAGGUCAACGUCUGAUUGCGGCCCCAUCGGGUCAGGUCCUCCCCCAAUCUGCCCUCAGGCCCCACACUCCAGGAGGGACCCCCAUCAUGAACAUCCUUCGACCCACUCAGAUGGCCAACCUUCUACCCAAUGGUACCCCCACCCUAGUGCCCCCGUCACCUGACGCGGGCCUCAUCUACACCACGCACUACGACUACCCUUAUGCCUUGGCACCCACGUCUCUGCUGGAAUAUCCCAUGGAGUCCAGCGGAGUCCUAGGUAAGCGGGCGUGGGGGCUUGGCGCUUCACCCUUUGGUGCUCUGCAAGAGGGUACAGCUGGGGUGUUUUACGGGGGCUUUUUGGAUGGGGCAUUUCCAGGCCCCGUUCAGGACUCAAUGAAAGGUGCAAUGGCUACUAAAGUGCGGAGACAUGAUUCUCGGGUCCAUCCUUACCAAAGGAUAGUGACCACAGACAGAGCCGCCACCGGCAACUAACAAAUGACCUCUGAACUCUUCAACCAAUGAUGAGCCGCCCAAGCCUGCCUGCUGAUCAGAUUAACUGAUGUUGAAAUGAGCCAGUUGCCUGACUCAGCGUGGACUGCUUAAGCUUCAACCGUCAAGAACAAAUAUGAUCGGCUGCACCUGUGGAACUAAACAUGCAGUGAGAAGAUUAAUCACCUUGCCGUUGUCAACAUCUGCAUGGAGCUCUUUCCUCAUCAAACAUAUAUGGGGUACAGCCAGGCUUGAAGGAAAUGUGUCUUUUUUUGGUCUCAAAGCAUAGGAUUGACAAAACCAUUAUUGAAUUGUUUGUGAAGAGAAAUUCUUGAAGUUUUUUAUUUUAAUAAAAAAAUGUUAUCCUUUACUUUAAAUUUGGAAUAAGAUGUCCAUAGAUCUAUAAUCAGAUAACAUUUUGACAUUACUAGUGUCCUUCUGAAACCUUGUAUCUCCAUAUUUGGUGAUUUAAAUUUUUAGUCAAAAAUCAUUAUUAUGAGUCACUCUUGUUUGUCAUUGGGUUUUGGAAAUAUCUAACCAAUAAAAAGUAUUUUAAAGUGUUUGUUUACUUCGACAACACAGUAUUAAAUCGAUUAAAAAGUACAAUGUUUGUUUCCAUUUCAUAAAUAACAGUGAAUUUUGGCACAAGGUUUCAGAAGGAAGGCUAUAUAAAGGAAAUAAAAUCAUGACAAAAUCACCAUUGGUAAAUACUUUUUAUAUAUUUAUUUCUUACUAAUUUAUUAAGUUUCAAUAUUGAGCCAUUCUUCUGAUUUAACUUUUAUGUUCCAUUUCGUAGCUUCCAGUAUUUAUACGAUUGUCUUUAUUACCUUGCUGUUUUUUAUUUAAUGGUGUUUCUCUUUUUAGUACAGGCAUAUUUUAAGUGCAUGUGUGUGGGAUCACGUUGCACAUAUUUCAAAACAAAUCUAUUUCCUAAUAAUUAUGUACAACAGUUUGUUUAUAAUACAGGUCAUAUGCCAAGUGAACAGUGUUUAAGUGUCGUUAUCUGACUUUGUGUUUUGCAUUUUCAUGGGGGGACUUUUGCUACACGAACAAGGUGUUUUUAUCCAAAAUUCUGUAGUUUGCAGUUUACCAUCAAUUAUAUAUAUAUCAGGAUAUUUUUUGUCAAAGAUUUUGUCUUUUUAAAUCUAAAUAUUUUAUUUUUGUGUGUAAUGACCAAAUAGAUCAUGUUAUUUUCGCAAUAUGGCAGACAUUUUACUAUUAAGACUAUAAUUUACAACAUGUCAGUUGCGCAAACCACACAUGGAAAGCCGAAGCAUAUAUUUUACUCGUCCCAUUCUAACCUUCGGUACAUAAACACAGACACUUCGCUUCAGACCUUCUUUAUCUCCAGCCCUGAUGAAAUGCGAUGGGAGAGACGGGGGUCAGAGACAGAUUUUAUUUUAUUAAUCUAUACUUCCUCUGUCAGAGCUGUAAAUGCGGGUCUGUUGUCAGAGCAGAGAGUAGUUGACACUUCUGGUAUUGUGUUUCUCUCAACGGGACAAAAUCAGUCAAUACCACUCGCCGAAUAUUACACAGUAAAACCCCCGUAGACAACCAUUUAUUAUGGAUUCUUUCUCUCUCAUUUUGCCUCCAACCAUCUCUAUUGUCUCUAUUGGAUGUAGGUCUCUGUGAUAUUGAUUGUGAUGUCAGGAGUAGGACUCACUUAACGCCAUUAUUACCCACAAUAAUUGCACAGAGAGGCCAUGGAUCCUCCUAACUGAGUCGACUGAAGUUCUGCGAUGAGUUGGGUUAAAUGCGGCCAGUAACUUGAUUGACAUUUAGAUCUGAACUUGAGAUCUGAGAAUCAACUUAAAUUUGUGAGAUUUGAACUUUACAUUCUUGGAAUGCAUCUUUUUUGGCGCCCCUUUGUCUUAAGGGUGCUGCUGAGAUGAACCUGAUCUCAAUUUCUCAAAACUGGCGAAAAAAUGCUCUUCUACAACAAAAUAAUACCUUCAGUCUUGAAUCUUUUCAAUUUGAGGAAGGUGUUUUUGGUGCACAUCUGGAUAUUAAUGUUUUUUGAGAACAGCAGCAAGUUGUCUUCUAAACUGAGCCUUUUAAAUGCUGCAGAUUUUCCUAAAGUCUCCAGAGACAAAACGAUACAGUGUUGAUCACACUCUACCCAAACGAAAUGCGCAAACACUAGAGCAUACAGCUUAUGAUGUGUGAAGUAUGGAAUGUAGGCGGUUGCCAUAGCAAUGCAGACUCCUCCUGAUGAUUAUUUACAAGUAAUUGUUUUUGUUUUAGUUCAUUUUUCAAAAAAAAAAACCCUGUUCAUGCAACAGUGUUGUUGUAAUUACAUGCUUUAAAAAAAGCUUUUAGUUCUUGAAGAAAAUAAGAAAUGUGGAUGUUUUGGAGUUCUGGAGGAUGGUUCUGUGACUCACACUCUCAAGAGUAUUGUAUACUUUAAACUCUGUCUGGACUUAAAUGAAAACAAGAUGUCUGGAAUGAAAAUAGUGUUUUUACAUUCAGAACUACCCUCAAUUCUCCUAAUUUUACCACCCAGCUAAAACAAGACGUCCGAAAGCAUUUCAUUCAUGUGGCUUGUUGUGAGGUCAUCAUGGUAAAUCUGGCUUGGACAGAAGAGUCACACCCACUGUAUGGCAUGAUUUGAACGGUCAGACUUCAAAGCACACACAAUGGAAAUUAAAAACUAGAAAUGAAUUUUAACAGAGACACAACAGAUGUCAGUUGAAACCAAAAUUGCUUUAUGUUGGUGUCAAAAAGCAUUUAGGGUUAUGGGUCAUAUUUGUUCUUUUUGUGUUUGUUGUAUUGAUUUUUUGUAUCACACUCCAUCCAAAUACUAGCACUAAAGCGAGUUCACACAAAAAGAAAAAUUCUGUCAUCAUUCAUCGACCCUUAUGUCGUUCAAACCCUGUAUAACUAAAGAAGACAUUUUCAGAAACGUCUCAGUGGUUUUGUGUCUCUACAGUGGAAGUCAAUGGAGAGCUUUUUUCCAAAUUUCUUCCUUUGUAUUCUGCAGAAGUCCAACUAUUUAUGUUGUAAACUUAACCUUUUCAAAGUACUUUUGUCAUUUCUGUCAUAGUGUGAAUACAUCAUUUGCAGGCACUUUGUUUCACUAUUUGUUUAGUUUGAUUAUUGGUGUACUGUAAAUGAGCCUUUUUGUGGUGUAUGUGCCACUUCUGAUGGAGCUUCUGUGUUUGUUUAAGCAUGCGAGAGAGAGAAGUAAAAAAGUAAUUUAAACCACUAAAUGAUUAACUUUUACUUAAGUUGUUUUAGGAGAAGCUCAUUACAUCUAAAACAGUAAACACAUACAGCAUUAGUUUAUGACUUAAAUCCUAUUUACACACCAUACCAGAAGCGUGCUGGUCAUGAGCAGAUGAACCUGUUGGAGAUCUCUGUGUGCUUCUGAACAGAACAGAACACAAACUAUUCACCAUGUGUCUCUCUCCACACGCUGCUUCUCAUCUCCUCUCUCUUUUCCACGCUCCCUUCUGCCCAUUCCCACACUCCUUUCAUCUGCCCCUCACACCUCUACUUCAACUCUCCCCAUUCCUCCACUCUGCUCUCGAAGAUUACACUCAUCUCACAUAUGCAAACACUGGGAGGGGUUCUGGCCUGCUUCAACCUUCUUGUCCUACAAUAUCCUUUGGCCCCCUUACCUUUAUUUUUCUGUAUAAAUUGUAAAUUUUAAGUAAUUUAUUGACAUGAUUGUUCUACUACAACAUUGCCAAAGCAUUACACACAGGAAAUAAAUCAGUUUUUCUCAAUUGCUAAAACACUAAACCCUAUUGUCUGAACCAAAUGCUUAGUUGCCUGAACCCACUGAUUAAAUCAAUCCCUCUUUUGGCAAAAACAUAAGCACUUUUCACCUGCUGAGACACAACUUGCCAACACAUUUUCAUUGUGAUGCACCCGUGCUGCAUAAUGGUAAGCACAGGUGACAAAAGUCAAACACAAUUGAAGCACAGGUGUCACCAUUUGAACACAACAACUCAAAAUAGAUCACACUUGUGGCUAAUGAUGUGAGGGAACAUAUACAGUAAGCCAGUUCAGAGAGCACUGUUUUGUGAGGCCCUACAGUGGAUAGAAAUCUAAAAGGAAGAGUGUGUGUGAGAGGAGGUCGAGGAAGUCGAGGAAGUCGAGGAGGUCGAGGAGGUCGAGGUGGUCAAGGUGGUCAGCGAAGACAAAGAACAGUAAUAUCUGAUGAAAUCAGAGCUACUGUGAUUGACCAUGUUCUUGUCUAUGGUAUGAGCAUGAGGGAGGCUGGAAAAAUGGUACAACCAAACAUCAGUAGAUUCACUGUGUCCACCACAAUCCGAAGAUUUAGAGAAGAGAACAGGUAAUAACCUUUUUUUUACAUUAUAGUACAGUAUGUAAAUGUUGACAGCAAUUACUGCAUGGCAUACUAUAUACUGUGCCACAGUAUACUGUAAGUAAAUAUAUGUUUCAGUACAUCACUGUAUCAAUGUACUGUAGUAUUGUAAUGAAGGGUUGGUCUAACUGAUAGGCCUUGUAUUCCAUGUAUAUUGGCCCAGUACGGAGACAUGAUGCUGUGGCUGAGUAAUGCACUUAUUUGUAUAUUUUUGUACUUUAUUUUUACAUGGGCUUACUGUACACAAGGUUCAAAGGCAUAAGAUUUCUGUUUUGUUUUUUGUACGAGUGCUAAAUGGACUGGUUUUUUUGUUUUGCAACAUGCAUUUAGCCUACAGUGAACAAUAAACAUUUAUUUCUCCAGCCUCGUGUCCUGAGCAUUAUGUUUUCUAUUUUUCUAUGUAGUGUUUAGUGACUGUUCCGUAGUGUUUUUAAUUUUGAUUGACUCGGGGCACGAUUUGACAACAUAGUUCAGUUUUGAGCACAGAUUGAACUGUUUUGAGGUGAAAGUAUGGUUUUGCUAAAAGAGUCUGAGGUUUUGUGAAUGUAGCUUGAAAAUUGGGUUUUGUGUUCACAGUUUAGACAAAAGGAGAGCAGCUUUCAAGAAAUGUGUCUUAGCAAUCGAGAAAAACUGUAAUAGUAAAAAAAUAAACUAUGGCGCCAGUAGGCUUAUUGUGAUAAAAGUAAUGACAUUCACAACUAAAUAAAACCACGUACAUAUAAAUUAAAUGCAAAAAAGCAAAUCUUGUUUAGUAACUUUUGCUUAUAUAUUUACAUAUUUGAACUAUACAAUUUGGGGUUGUUUUACUAAUAAAAAAGGGUUGUUAACUACCUUUUUGAGUCGCUUCAACCCAAAAUGAUGAGUUGUUUUAACCUGUUGUUGGGUCAAAUAUAUUUAUGCAAGCAUUUUAUAUUAUUUAUAUAUAUUAUACAAAUAUAUUUCCUUGGUUAAUUUUACCCACCAGCUUUUUGACCCACUGGGUUGGGUGAAUGUAUCCUUAUGUAGGCUGAUGUAAAAGGUCCAAUGUGUAAUUUUGAGAGAAUUGCAAAAUAAUAUACAAAACUAUGUCUUUAAGGCUGUUAUGCAGCAUUAUGUGUUUAUUACGUUUUUAAAAUGAGCUAUUUCUAUCUUCAUUCACCAUGGGUCCUCUUACAUGGAAUUCUCCAUGUUGUUUCUACAGUAGCACUCUACAGAGCAUGUUUCGUCAAUACGUUAUUUGCUUCAGCAAAGAAGUGAAAACGUGAAAACGUCACAGUGCUGUGUCAGCCACCGUAGUGCUUCUGUGGGAGGAAGAGGGGUCUGACUGGGCCGUUGGUUGCAAUUUGCAACCUCACCAUUAGAUGCCGCGAACCUUAGUACAUUGGACAUUUAAGUGACUUCAAAUCAGGGUGAGGUAAGGAGAUGGUUAUGAACACGUUUUUUAUGUAUUUGCUCAAAUGUCAACUUUGGUUAAUUUUAUUCAAAAACGUACAGAUUGCAGCUUUUAUAAAUAAAUCACAGUCCUCCUGAGUUUUCCCUCCCCCUGUUGUGAUAGAACUGUGAUGUGUCAGUGGUACCCAGCAUGUCUUUGGCAGUACUUACAGUACUGACGAUCUCUUUGGCCAGCAAACAGGAACAGGAAGGAAUCCUGAGAUGCUUCCAGACUAUCCACUCAGAAGGAGCUUAUCAGCACAUCCUGUUUUCUUUCCAUACCAUUUUUCCUUAUUACUGGCCUUUCUUUUUCGUUAAUGUACUUUCACAUUAAAGACCCUUGCUCCGUUUUUACUGUUAUCGGAUCACAGUUGGAUGUUCUAUCAAAACGAAUGAAAAUAGCAUCUUAUCUCGUGAUUGGUUGUGUGUCUGUCCCUGAAGGUGUGAGAGUGAGGAAAAAUUGAAAAUCUAUGUCUGAGAAAACAAUAACUUUAUCAAGAGCUUACAUGCUGUCUGUACAUGUCUGACAAGCUUUCUCACACACACACACGCACAAAGCUGUUUGGUAAGAGCCAAUAUCACAGCCCCUGAGAUUAGCAGCCUCAACCGCAGGGAAAAUUUGUGUUGCAAUCGAUAGGAAUGUCAUCUUCUACAAUCCUUUAUUUCUUUCUUCAGAGUGAUUCAAUUGGUCUCUGCACCUCUUCACCUUUUACUUCAUGUAUUCACAGUUAGAAAUAUUAUUUGUUGUUUUUUGUUGGUUCUAUUUAAAAUGGUUGCUAGUUGAAUGAAUUUCAAUGAAUUUCUAGGUGAGUUGACAAAACUUUUAAGUUAAACUUGAAUCAACUAAAAUUUUUUAGUUGAAUUAACUCCAAAUUUUAAGAGAACCAGGUAAAACAUUUUUUUUACAUGCUUGUGAAGCUUUGGUUACGUAGUUUAUGAGAGAUUCUGCUCUAAUAAAUAAAUAAUAAUGUGUUGUAUUAUGAAUUUUUUAUUAUUAUUUGUAAUGAUAAUAAUCCAUCCAUCCAUUUUCUACCGCUUAUCCGAACUACCUCGGGUCACGGGGAGCCUGCGCCUAUCUCAGGAGUCAUCGGGCAUCAAGGCAGGAUACACCCUGGAUGGAGUGAUGAUAAUAAUAGUUUAUGUAAAUAUAAUAUAGUGUACGAUAAUAUAUUGUUGUUGUUCCAAACCAUACAAGCAGGAGGACAAUUUAUCUCUACAUAGGAGCUUAUGUUGUUGUAAAUAUUUGUUUUACCUUUUGUUUUUUAAGAUUUAAACUAAUUAAAAAUGAAUUACUAUUAAAUUAUAGAAAAUAUUGUGGUUGCUGCUGCUGUAGCUGCUGAUUUUGUGGAAUGAUCUAGCUGCUACAAGGGCAGCAGAUUCUGUCGCAAUCUUUAAGGACCGGCUGAAAACACAUCUCUUCCGUCUGCAUCUGACUGAUCAUUUCUGAUUUCUAGAUCUUUUCUUCAAUAUCUAUUAAAAAAAAAACUAAAUGUAAAUGUAAUGUUGUUGUUGACACUUUGUGUUAUUCUGUACUUCUCACUAACUCAAACUGAAAGCAAAUAUUAGCCUGCUGCUGACUGCUACUUUGCAGUAUAGAGUUUUUACUAAAAUUGGAAACUUGUGAAAUGAGUGUAUAAACAUUUGCCAGUCUGUACUGUAUCCACUAUAUACAUAAAGACAUCGCUAUCAUGACUUUAAACUCACACAUGCAUUAAGCUUUCCUGUAGCUCAGUGGUAAGAGCAUUGCAUUAACAAUGCAAGAUUGUGGGUUCAAUCCCAGGGGAUUGCAUAUACUUAAGUAUAAAUGUAUAGGAUAAUGCAAUGUAAGUCGCUUUGGAUAAAAGCGUCUGCCUAAUGCAUAAAUGUAAAUGUAGGUGUCAGUUUCACCGGCAAAAGAUUUUCGCUAGCAAAAUUUACAACUGAGUAGCAUAUUUCCGAUCAACAAUUAUUCCUGAUACAGUGCGUACUUUACCAUAGCUUCAGUUAACUAAACUCAAAUUGCAGUAAUAAAUUGCCUCACAAGUCCCAUAGAAUCGUCAGUUUUUAUCAGUUGAAGGCGGAACUUUCUUCACAAGAACUGAGCGUUGCAUUCUUCUGCAUUCAUUGUAAUGCCAGUGGCACAUCUUGUUAAUACUAGAUAAUGGUUAAGGGGCAAGAUAAUAUGGUAUUUCCGAAUUCAACCAGCAUCUCUCUGUUUAACUACCUCCUGCCCACUUUUGCCCUUUCUCUCUCAGGCGACCGGUAUCUGCCUGACUGCUUCUUUGUUGACUGCGUAAUAUGGCUCUCGGGUCUAAAAUCCGGUUUUGGCACAGUGGUCGUGGUGCCAUUUGUCUGGAGAGGUAAAGAACAGUCUGUACUUGUUACCUAUAACUCUUGCCAUUUGUCUCUAUUUCACACUCUUUCCAUCAUACAUUCAAUAAAAGUCUGUCUCAGCUCUGUAGUGUUAUAAAGCACUUCUCUGCUCUCAAAGACUAAAGUUCUCAAGAUGUGUUGACUAAAAUAUUCUUGAAUAAUUGGUGUGCGACUCGGAGUGACUGAGCAUCCUCAAAAGUCUGAUUAAAAGUCAUUUUAAUUUUAAGAAAAAAAAUUAAAGACUUCCAUAAGAUAUGCAAUUAAAGAUCAAAUGAAAUUGCAACCUUUUUCUGGUUUGAUCAAUAUUAAAUGCUGUUUCAAGUUCAUCCAGAUUCUUACACAGACAUCCACCGAAUACUUCUCCCAGAAAAAUUACGCUUUAAAUAAGAUAGAUUUGGUUUCGCCCUGUCUGACCUGAGAUGUAUUUAUUUAGAACACGAUGAAUAGAGUGUUCAGGUUGACUUGAAGUAAUCAAGCAAGCAUGGCAGUAGACGUGUAGGCAAUCAUGCCACCCGCUGUCUGUCCAAUCUGGCCUCUCUUCUGCUGCAAGAAAGCAUGAAAUAUUGAUAAAGAGACUUAAUGAUACAGGGGAAGAUAAUCACAGAAUCACUAAAGAACUAAAGCAGACAGCAGCAUCACAUCAAAGUCAGCACGGUGAAAAAAAAAAAUUCAAUGCUAAUGUGAACUUUGUGUUUCUAUGAAAAAGAAAAAAUACGAGUAUUUAAUCCCAUUCAUUUUACAGGCAAAUCUCUUCUUUUGAGAGUGGCUUUUUCAUGCAGCAAGCUGUUUUUAAGCUCCCAGUUCACCAAAAUAAAUGCCGGUUGAGGUUAAAUCAUUGGGAAAAUUGCUCUCGUGGCGGGAAGCGCUUUGCAAAAUGUCAUUUCCAGUCUAUUUCAGAAGCGUAUGCGUCACCUCUUUCCCCCUCUCUCUCUCACAUUCAAUCUCUCUUUCACUCUCUCACUUGCUUUUUCAUUGGCAUGUAAGUGUGUUUUCUAAACGUGUUUUAAUUUGUGGUUGAUUAGCAUACAUGCACUUGCAUCAUGGCCUCUGACCUCAGGUUAGUCGUGCAUUGGGUAAUGUGAUUCUGCCUCCUGUUGGCACUCAACUGCUGCUGGGUUGCCAACACACACGCACACAGGGAGGAUGUGCAUGCACAUUAAGCCACUUGUUUCUCUUCCUCUGUAGAAUUGCUAACGGAGAACCAUGGCACUGAUUGGCUCAUUUUUUCUCUUUUUGGCCCUUCGCCCUACAGAGCAGUAGUUCCGCCCAUGGUCCGAAAACACUUCCAUAGAAACCAAGCCUACAUGGUUCUGUCUAUGUGUAUUUGAGAAAGAAAGUGCAUGUUAAGUUUCUUAUAUAAAGCUCAAAGGCUGGAAAAAAGAUUCAGAAUCACGCUGGUGUCCCUGCUGAUAUGUCUAGCAUUGACCUGGAUGGAUUUCCAUUUUUCUUGUUAGGGAAGUUUUCCAGCAUAUAACGUGCGUGUCUUAGUUAAUGUGAUCAACAGACUUGCCUUUCUGUCUGUAAUGAAGAAACUUUGCUGUGAUGUGUGGCCUUGAUCCAAAAAUGUGUAAAAGCAUAUACAAAUACAUACUUCACAGAGCAUAUUUAUGCCGCAUUCACAAGCAAUUAAAUUAAAAACAUCUGCUGUUUUAAUGAACGUGAAUGUGUAAUUUUAGAUCAUGUGAAUCAUGCAGAGAAGUCAAUUAUGUUUUACAUUCAUAACAUGUUCAGUAAAGGAAAGCUACAAUAUAUAUGUGUGCAAACUGAGUUUUGUUCUGUUUUAGAAACCUGACAUAAUAAAUGAUUUAUGGGUACGUGAAGUCAUGGUAAGCAGUCUUAGAAGAAGCAUGUACAGUCAUGUUAAUGUCAGAUGUCAGACUUAUAUUCCAUGUCUUCUGAAACAAUUCUUAAUUUCCUCUGCACACUGUAAAUAAAAUUUUAUGCUCAUGAACAACACAUGGUGUCUCAUUCCCUUACGAAUCUUCCGCAAAGUGACUUUCCAAAGAGAGUUUCUUUAAAUUUCAGAGGCAAACAAACUCUCCUGAGGAGAAAACUAAAUGUUGAAUUUAUUUCCUUGAGACAAACUGCUAAUAAAACCCACUUAUUCAUUUCAAAAAGUGUGUAAACCAACAUAAAACCACUCAUGUGUUUACUUGAGUUUCUGGAGUCAUUGGGCCUCGCCAGGCUUCAUAUUUUAAACUGGUUUCACUUGUCACGA